rnacentral:rRNA from 1 species
GGUUAAGCGACUAAGCGUACACGGUGGAUGCCCUGGCAGUCAGAGGCGAUGAAGGACGUGCUAAUCUGCGAUAAGCGUCGGUGAGGUGAUAUGAACCGUUAUAACCGGCGAUUUCCGAAUGGGGAAACCCAGUGUGAUUCGUCACACUAUCAUUAACUGAAUCCAUAGGUUAAUGAGGCGAACCGGGGGAACUGAAACAUCUAAGUACCCCGAGGAAAAGAAAUCAACCGAGAUUCCCCCAGUAGCGGCGAGCGAACGGGGAAGAGCCCAGAGCCUGAAUCAGUGUGUGUGUUAGUGGAAGCGUCUGGAAAGGCGCGCGAUACAGGGUGACAGCCCCGUACACAAAAAUGCACAUAUUGUGAGCUCGAUGAGUAGGGCGGGACACGUGGUAUCCUGUCUGAAUAUGGGGGGACCAUCCUCCAAGGCUAAAUACUCCUGACUGACCGAUAGUGAACCAGUACCGUGAGGGAAAGGCGAAAAGAACCCCGGCGAGGGGAGUGAAAAAGAACCUGAAACCGUGUACGUACAAGCAGUGGGAGCCUCUUAAUGGGGUGACUGCGUACCUUUUGUAUAAUGGGUCAGCGACUUAUAUUCUGUAGCAAGGUUAACCGAAUAGGGGAGCCGAAGGGAAACCGAGUCUUAACUGGGCGUUAAGUUGCAGGGUAUAGACCCGAAACCCGGUGAUCUAGCCAUGGGCAGGUUGAAGGUUGGGUAACACUAACUGGAGGACCGAACCGACUAAUGUUGAAAAAUUAGCGGAUGACUUGUGGCUGGGGGUGAAAGGCCAAUCAAACCGGGAGAUAGCUGGUUCUCCCCGAAAGCUAUUUAGGUAGCGCCUCGUGAAUUCAUCUCCGGGGGUAGAGCACUGUUUCGGCAAGGGGGUCAUCCCGACUUACCAACCCGAUGCAAACUGCGAAUACCGGAGAAUGUUAUCACGGGAGACACACGGCGGGUGCUAACGUCCGUCGUGAAGAGGGAAACAACCCAGACCGCCAGCUAAGGUCCCAAAGUCAUGGUUAAGUGGGAAACGAUGUGGGAAGGCCCAGACAGCCAGGAUGUUGGCUUAGAAGCAGCCAUCAUUUAAAGAAAGCGUAAUAGCUCACUGGUCGAGUCGGCCUGCGCGGAAGAUGUAACGGGGCUAAACCAUGCACCGAAGCUGCGGCAGCGACACUAUGUGUUGUUGGGUAGGGGAGCGUUCUGUAAGCCUGUGAAGGUGGCCUGUGAGGGUUGCUGGAGGUAUCAGAAGUGCGAAUGCUGACAUAAGUAACGAUAAAGCGGGUGAAAAGCCCGCUCGCCGGAAGACCAAGGGUUCCUGUCCAACGUUAAUCGGGGCAGGGUGAGUCGACCCCUAAGGCGAGGCCGAAAGGCGUAGUCGAUGGGAAACAGGUUAAUAUUCCUGUACUUGGUGUUACUGCGAAGGGGGGACGGAGAAGGCUAUGUUGGCCGGGCGACGGUUGUCCCGGUUUAAGCGUGUAGGCUGGUUUUCCAGGCAAAUCCGGAAAAUCAAGGCUGAGGCGUGAUGACGAGGCACUACGGUGCUGAAGCGACAAAUGCCCUGCUUCCAGGAAAAGCCUCUAAGCAUCAGGUAACAUCAAAUCGUACCCCAAACCGACACAGGUGGUCAGGUAGAGAAUACCAAGGCGCUUGAGAGAACUCGGGUGAAGGAACUAGGCAAAAUGGUGCCGUAACUUCGGGAGAAGGCACGCUGAUAUGUAGGUGAAGCGACUUGCUCGUGGAGCUGAAAUCAGUCGAAGAUACCAGCUGGCUGCAACUGUUUAUUAAAAACACAGCACUGUGCAAACACGAAAGUGGACGUAUACGGUGUGACGCCUGCCCGGUGCCGGAAGGUUAAUUGAUGGGGUUAGCGGUAACGCGAAGCUCUUGAUCGAAGCCCCGGUAAACGGCGGCCGUAACUAUAACGGUCCUAAGGUAGCGAAAUUCCUUGUCGGGUAAGUUCCGACCUGCACGAAUGGCGUAAUGAUGGCCAGGCUGUCUCCACCCGAGACUCAGUGAAAUUGAACUCGCUGUGAAGAUGCAGUGUACCCGCGGCAAGACGGAAAGACCCCGUGAACCUUUACUAUAGCUUGACACUGAACAUUGAGCCUUGAUGUGUAGGAUAGGUGGGAGGCUUUGAAGUGUGGACGCCAGUCUGCAUGGAGCCGACCUUGAAAUACCACCCUUUAAUGUUUGAUGUUCUAACGUGGGCCCCUAAUCGGGGUUGCGGACAGUGUCUGGUGGGUAGUUUGACUGGGGCGGUCUCCUCCUAAAGAGUAACGGAGGAGCACGAAGGUUGGCUAAUCCUGGUCGGACAUCAGGAGGUUAGUGCAAUGGCAUAAGCCAGCUUGACUGCGAGCGUGACGGCGCGAGCAGGUGCGAAAGCAGGUCAUAGUGAUCCGGUGGUUCUGAAUGGAAGGGCCAUCGCUCAACGGAUAAAAGGUACUCCGGGGAUAACAGGCUGAUACCGCCCAAGAGUUCAUAUCGACGGCGGUGUUUGGCACCUCGAUGUCGGCUCAUCACAUCCUGGGGCUGAAGUAGGUCCCAAGGGUAUGGCUGUUCGCCAUUUAAAGUGGUACGCGAGCUGGGUUUAGAACGUCGUGAGACAGUUCGGUCCCUAUCUGCCGUGGGCGCUGGAGAACUGAGGGGGGCUGCUCCUAGUACGAGAGGACCGGAGUGGACGCAUCACUGGUGUUCGGGUUGUCAUGCCAAUGGCACUGCCCGGUAGCUAAAUGCGGAAGAGAUAAGUGCUGAAAGCAUCUAAGCACGAAACUUGCCCCGAGAUGAGUUCUCCCUGACUCCUUGAGAGUCCUGAAGGAACGUUGAAGACGACGACGUUGAUAGGCCGGGUGUGUAAGCGCAGCGAUGCGUUGAGCUAACCGGUACUAAUGAACCGUGAGGCUUAACCUU